GCCGGGCCGGGCCGCCGCCCGCCCCAGCCAUGUCCGGCGGGCCGCAUCGCCCGGGUGCAGCGGAGCCGGGCGGGCUGCGCAGUUCUGUGCAACAUCCACACUGCUGGCAUCAGGAGCAGGAACAUGGAAACUGCAAUGAUUCUGAUUCUCUGGUGUUGGAGGAAUAUCAAUGUGGCCAUUCAGACCACUGGCUGGAGAGCUCUGCAACGUCAGAACAUUCUAGGCCACUUUCCAGUUGCCUGAAUUGGGAAGGUAGAACUGAAGAAGGCAAAACAAUGAGGACAUCAAAUAAAAAAAUGACCCACAACUCUGCCAAUCCAGCAGAAAGGGAAACUGAUGAGGUGGUCCUGAGGAGAAGACAAAAACAGAUCAAUUUUGGCAAGAAUACUCUGGCAUAUGACAGAUACAUUAAAGAAGUUCCAAAGAGCCAGCGACUUCCAGGGGUUCACCCUACAACUCCCAACAAGUUCAAGAAGUACAGCCGCAGGUCCUGGGACCGGCAGAUCAAGCUGUGGAAGAUUGCACUGCAUGCCUGGGAUCCUCCUGCUGAAGAAACCUGGGAUCUGCAGCCUGUCAGUACAGAACCUUCAGGUAGUUCCCAGGAAUGGUUCUGCAAAGAUGAGGAUGUUCCUGGCUCCUUUGUGUUUGACGAAAAGCAGAUGAGAAAUGAGUGUGAAGAUGAAUGCAGGCAGACUGCCCACACACCUGAGAGUUCCUGUUCUCCCAAUUCUUCUCCAGUAUGGAAACGCAGAAGAAGAAACAAUUCUGACUCCUCUGUGGUUUCAGAGAGCAAAAACCAUUAUCUGCACAUGUACCACACUGCACUGGAAAGCCUUACUGCCUCAGGACAUCAGGAUGCUUUUUCCAAGUGCUCAGAGUGGGAAGCCUUUGGUGCAAAAGAUGAAGUCAUGGCAGUGCAGCAAAGUAUAGAAAUAACAAGUUCUGUGCAACAUCCACACUGCUGGCAUCAGGAGCAGGAGCAUAGAAACUGCAAUGAUUCUGAUUCUCUGGUGUUGGAGGAAUAUCAAUGUGGCCAUUCAGACCACUGGCUGGAGAGCUCUGCAACGUCAGAACAUUCUAGGCCACUUUCCAGUUGCCUGAAUUGGGAGGGUAGAACUGAAGAAGGCAAAACAACGAGGACAUCAAAUAAAAAAAUGACCCACAACUCUGCCAAUCCAGCAGAAAGGGAAACUGAUGAGGUGGUCCUGAGGAGAAGACAAAAACAGAUCAAUUUUGGCAAGAAUACUCUGGCAUAUGACAGAUACAUUAAAGAAGUUCCAAAGAGCCAGCGACUUCCAGGGGUUCACCCUACAACUCCCAACAAGUUCAAGAAGUACAGCCGCAGGUCCUGGGACCGGCAGAUCAAGCUGUGGAAGAUUGCACUGCAUGCCUGGGAUCCUCCUGCUGAAGAAACCUGGGAUCUGCAGCCUGUCAGUACAGAACCUUCAGGUAGUUCCCAGGAAUGGUUCUGCAAAGAUGAGGAUGAUCCUGGCUCCUUUGUGUUUGACGAAAAGCAGAUGAGAAAUGAGUGUGAAGAUGAAUGCAGGCAGACUGCCCACACACCUGAGAGUUCCUGUUCUCCCAAUUCUUCUCCAGUAUGGAAACGCAGAAGAAGAAACAAUUCUGACUCCUCUGUGGUUUCAGAGAGCAAAAACCAUUAUCUGCACAUGUACCACACUGCACUGGAAAGCCUUACUGCCUCAGGACAUCAGGAUGCUUUUUCCAAGUGCUCAGAGUGGGAAGCCUUUGGUGAAAAAGAUGAAGUCAUGGCAGUGCAACCAAGUAUAGAAAUAACAAGUGGCUUGAUUCCAGCCAGUUAUUCUUCCGUAUGGAACAAUCCAAAACAGAAGAAAUCCAGCUUCUUUCUGCCUGCCAGCAAGACUUGCAGAGAUGCAGACUUCAGGCUGGAGAGGUAUCAAAGGCAGCUCAUCAGCUGGGGUUUGAGGGGCUUAAACUUUGUAGCAGUUUAUUGGAUGGACAUCAGUCAGAAUACCCUGACAGAAGAUGGGAAAGUGCAAAUGCUGAAGAUACAAUACUGAGGAAAAAAAUCUAAAUAUGAAGUCUCUCUUUGUAUAUAGAAAUAUUGAAGAAAGAAUUUCUCCUGUGACAGAAAAAGACUUGAAGAAUAGGGAUGUAUUCUGAGAUCAGCAGAUCAAGUCUUGGAAAACUGGUGCUGUCAUGUAGGACCUGCACUGAAAGGGAAGAGAUUUACAGUCAGCAUAAGUGCAAUCAACACAAGGUGAAAUUAUUCAGGUUUCUCCAGAUCUUUAUAAGGAUAGAUUGUUUUCUGCAAGCUGUGCCUCAAGUGUAAAACUCCAGAUUUUGUGAAACCUGUGCUGCAAUGACAAUGGAUGUUCCUUAAAGCCUUUGUGAGGACAUUGCUGCUGUGCCUGCAUUGGCAGGUGACACAUCAUAUAAUGUGCAUUAGAUUUCAAAAGCUGCUUCAGGUGAUGGAUCCUGCCAUUCCUCUGGAGGUCUUGUUCCUCAGGAUGUGCUGAUGCUUCACCAGAGAAUUGGUCCAGUGUCAAAUCAGACUGAAAAAUGAACGCCUCCAACCAAGGAACCUCCUCUGCUCCCCUGGACCAGAACUGGACAUCCAGCCUGAAGAACUGCUUCAAAAGAAUGUAGAUCAUUUCAGCCUUCCUCCAGCCAUUAAAGACAAGCUGUUCAUAACUUUUGGAUUGGGUGAUCACCCAUUUGGCAUAUUUAUUGUUCUCUGAGAUGUAUUAAGGUGGUGUUUGCCUAAGCCAGGUGAGAGAAGAGAAAGGAAAGGUAGAUGGUUUAUCAAAAUCAGAUCCAUUUCUUGAAAGGGUUGAGUGACUGUUAGAACAGCAGCACAGCUCAAAUACCUGGAUUUUGCUUUUAUGUGUGUUGCAGCCUGACCCAAAGAGCCAGUCUACAGUCAGAGGGUAGGAGAGGAUGCAUUCAGUGCCUGUUGUUCACACAACUGUUGGGGAUAAAUAGCAGUAUUUGCAGGUGUGGAGCUGCUCUUGUCCAGGCUAAGGGUUGUGAUGGUGUUGGGAUAGGCUCUCUUUUUUUGUUCUGCUAGCACUGUGUGCAGAAGUUUGAAGUGAGAGCUGUGGCUACAGUGGUUUGGACUAAAUCCACGUGCCAGUUACAAGAAUGUUACAGUCCUUGUGUAGCAUGUACUGGGAUACCAAUGGCUGCUAGAGCUGGGGGUUGUUUCUCUACAGGAGUUUGGUUUUGCUUUCCCUUGCUAUGGGGCUGGCAGUACCCAGGGCCAAGAGCCCAUUGUGCUGCUGAUUUUGAAGUAAGCUGCUCCCUCAGAAACUACUCUCACUCCCAAAAUGUAAUUUCCAGACAUGCUCAGGCAUUUUUCCCAACACAAGGGUGUAUCAGUCACACACCACAGAGCAUGUGUGUGUACAAGGGACACAUCUGUACAGCACUUUUCUAAGAGGUAAUAUUUAGAACCUUGUUGUUCCAGUGUGCAUGUUUCCUUGUGAUUUAUGAUGACUGUAAAUAAGGGGAUGUGUUACAUUUUUGGCAAUUUGCCUUUAUGCAGAAGAAUUAAAGACUUGAAUUAAAAAUC